UACGUGGGGGGCAAGCGUUGUUCGGAAUUAUUGGGCGUAAAGGGUGCGUAGGCGGUUUUGUAAGUCUUGUGUGAAAUCUUCAGGCUCAACUUGAAGACUGCACGAGAAACUGCAGGGCUUGAGUGUGGGAGAGGUGAGUGGAAUUCCUGGUGUAGCGGUGAAAUGCGUAGAUAUCAGGAGGAACACCUGUGGCGAAAGCGGCUCACUGGACCAUAACUGACGCUGAUGCACGAAAGCUAGGGGAGCAAACAGG
rnacentral:rRNA from 1 species